CAAUAGCGUAUAUUAAAGUUGUUGCGGUUAAAAAGCUCGUAGUUGGAUUUCUGCUGAGAACGACCGGUCCGCCCUUUGGGUGUGUAUCUGGCUCUUUCUUGGCAUCUUCUUGGUGAACGUUGCUGCACUUGACUGUGUGGAGCGCUACCCAGGACUUUUACUUUGAGGAAAUUAGAGUGUUUCAAGCAGGCAUACGCCUUGAAUACAUUAGCAUGGAAUAAUAAGAUAGGACCUCGGUUCUAUUUUGUUGGUUUCUAGAGCUGAGGUAAUGAUUAAUAGGGAUAGUUGGGGGCAUUCGUAUUUAACUGUCAGAGGUGAAAUUCUUGGAUUUGUUAAAGACGGACUACUGCGAAANCANNNGCCAAGGAUGUUUNCAUNGA
rnacentral:rRNA from 1 species